rnacentral:tRNA from 1 species
GGAGGGAUGACCGAGUGGACGAAGGUGCGCGCUUGGAAAGCGCGUGUAGGGGCACAAACCUCUACCGUGGGUUCGAAUCCCACUCCCUCCGCCA